rnacentral:rRNA from 1 species
GGUUAUACGAGAGGCCCAAGUUGACAGACUGCGGCGUAAAGGGUGGUUAGGAAAAAUAUGCAAACUAAAGUCGAACAACUCCAACACCGUGAUACGUCUCCGGAAAUACGAAGCCCAACCACGAAAGUGACUUUACCCUAUCUGACCCCACGAGAGCUGAGAAA